rnacentral:rRNA from 1 species
CCUACGGGAGGCAGCAGUGAGGAAUAUUGGUCAAUGGGCGGGAGCCUGAACCAGCCAAGUCGCGUGAGGGAUGACGGCCCUAUGGGUUGUAAACCUCUUUUGCCGGGGAGCAAACUGCCGCACGUGUGCGGUUUGGAGAGUACCCGGAGAAAAAGCAUCGGCUAACUCCGUGCCAGCAGCCGCGGUAAUACGGAGGAUGCGAGCGUUAUCCGGAUUUACUGGGUGUAAAGGGAGCGUAGACGGCUGUGCAAGUCUGAAGUGAAAGCCCGUGGCUCAACCGCGGAACUGCUUUGGAAACUGUAGAGCUUGAGUACGGGAGAGGCAGGCGGAAUUCCUAGUGUAGCGGUGAAAUGCGUAGAUAUUAGGAGGAACACCAGUGGCGAAGGCGGCCUGCUGGACAGAAACUGACGUUGAGGCUCGAAAGCGUGGGGAGCAAACAGGAUUAGAUACCCGAGUAGUC